AGGAAAGGAAAGGAAAGGAAAGGAAGGAAAGGAAAGGAAGGAAAGGAAAGGCAGCGGGGGAGGAGGCAGCCCAACUUUUUGAGGGGCUGGCGGCUGGGAGCGGGGUCUGCGUGUUAACAGUGUCUAUCUGUUGAUCUAAAUUGAUCUACGUGGUUAUAAAAGCGGAGAAAGCAACUCAUUCCGUACACGUUAACAGAGGGUUUACCUGGCAAAAAGCGGCGCUCGGCUUCUUUUCUGACCGGCGCUUCCGUACACAGCCAGGUACGUGCGUUCUCUUGCAGCUCAGCACAACGCCUCGUGUUUAACGUGCACCCCACGUGCAGUUAUUUAGGUGCUGACGUGUAAACAUUUCGCUUCGGCGAACAGAAGAGCUCCAGAACCGAUCAGUUUCUACCCCAGCUGCGCAGGGAGAGCGAGGGGGACGACCUCAGCCUGCUUCGUUGUAGCAAGCUCAACCGCUUAGGAAAAAAGCUCUUAUUUAUGACUGCUGCCCUACACGAUGCAAAUGGCAAUCUUUGAGAUCAAAACAUACCGGUGCACACCCACAGAAAGCAUUAAUGUCAUUCACCAACGGGAACACAAAUGCCCUCUCCCAGCGUUUCACCAGAUGAGCACGGCCGCAGAAGCCAAGUCUGAAAUACAUACGUUCAACAGAUGUGUUUGUAUAUGCUCCCAGCAGAUACAUGCCAGCAUUCUGUGCCUAACCUUAUGUAAAGGCCAGGCGUGUGGUAUAAAUGCAUGCAAGUUUAGGAAUCGGAGCCUACGUAGCAAAACUGCAGCUCAGACUACUGUAUAAAAACAGGUAGUAAAAGCUUAAUUACCAAUAGCAUUAUGCUGUCUAUAUUGUUAAAUGUGAGCUCUAUAAUUAAGAUGUAAAUUCACGUGUGAGCAGUGAAUUACAGAGCUCUGAAAAUGUAGAGGAAAAUCCAACCAUGGCAUAGAAACAUCAGGCUUAAAAUAAAUAAAUAAAAAUAAAUAAAUCAGUUUUUAUCAAAUUAUAAAAUGAGGCAUUUAAUCAUGUAUUAGAAUGCUCUCUGAGGAACAACUGGAUACAUGUGGAUUUUGGAAUCGAAUCAAAACUAAAAUAAGACGUGUUCAUUCUAUGCACCUUUGUAGUAUAUAAGCCCAAAAUACAGCUCCUGUAAAUAGAUUUUUGUCUGCCCUUUGGCAAACUAUAUGAAAAUAGAACUGUAUUGUUUCUGAUGGCUCUGAGUGUCCAUUUGUAGAUUUAUAUUCAAAAGUGCUAUUUUUCAAUUUUAUGCUAAAAUACUUUCAAAUCAUUUCAUUCUUAUGCGUUUUCUUUAAGUAACCCAUACCCGGUCCCUAUAGAUGGGCCAUUUCAUCAAGUCACUUCUACGUAUUAAGUUCUCUAGAAUAUAUCCUCCUUCAUAAGACAGCUGAUCCAUUUUGAAGUGUAGCAAAGCACAGGUCAGCUUUAAUUUCUACUUUUGGUCAUUGUUUCUUUAGAUGAUGUUUUAUAUUCAAAUGCUGAAAUGUCUCUUUACUUCUGCCAUGGAAACUUUCCUUUCUGUAUUCCCAUAGGUUCUGCCACCUUGUUGACUUUUUCCCCCCAUAUCGCACACCCUCAGAUACAUUUUUCCUCUCUCUCUAUUUGCCAUCUCUAUGUUUCUCUCACCCAUCUCUCAUCCAAGCAAGUGGCUCUCUUCCCUGCCACUGCUGCUGCUCAUGCAACCAGAAAUACAGUGCUAUAGUUUGCAUGCUGAUAAACAAAGCAGUUGGCUUCUUCCCUGGGACUGAAAAUGCCACCUCCACCAGACCAGGGCCUGGAAUUCCAACUGUGUUCAUGAACUUGGGUCUCAGUUAUCCAUCAGUUUAGAAAAAUAAGAUAAGCAAUAUUACUACAGGCAAAUAAGCUGUGUGUAAACAUGGCUUCACUUUCCCAAGCUUUGCAGUAGAAAUAAAUAAAAUAGCAAUAGGGGGAAAAGAAAAAAAGACUCAUACAAUUUAAUUAAUUUUUAUCAGGGGAUGUAGAGUAAGACAUGCAUGGAAAUGCCCAUCUGCACUAACUUACCAAAACAAACAGUGUAAAAUCUUACCACAAGGAGUCUAUAGAAAACAGUGGUAAUCGAAUCAGAGAAGGGAAGGAUAAAAGCAUCCUGGCUGUGUGCAGCAGUCAAGGAGCAUUACUGGUCAGAAUCUGUGUUUCCAUCUCUCUGUGCGCCUAUAAUUUGUAUUACAUAUACUCCAUGUUUAUGUAUCUUCAUAUUUAAAUACUACAGACAUUUCUAGCUACAUUCUUACAACACAACUACCUCAAGGCAACUGGAGAACUGUAAUUCAGUGGCACUUCACAGAAGCUGCACAAUGAAUUGUGUCGAAUGUGUAUUUACCAAAAGGCAAAGCUCAAGUCAUCUGGCAAGGAGCGAGAAUGUCAAAUACAUUUUAUUAGCUGCAGAGAAUUAAUUUGAAAACAAGUACAUGGUUUACUUAGUGUAACGUGUUGGGGGUUGGACUCUGUGAUAAUCUCCAGAGAUCCCUUCUAACCCUACAAUUCUGUGAUUCUGCGAAAUUUUGCCAUACACUGUGGUACCUUGUUCAGAGCAUAACUGGGGAAUAUCAUGAAGUUUGAAAUAAAUAUCAAGUAAUCAUCAAA